rnacentral:rRNA from 1 species
GUGAGGAAUAUUGGACAAUGGGCGCAAGCCUGAUCCAGCCAUGCCGCGUGCAGGAAGACGCAUCUAUGGUGUGUAAACUGCUUUUGUACGGGAAGAAACACUCCCUCGUGAGGGAGCUUGACGGUACCGUAAGAAUAAGGAUCGGCUAACUCCGUGCCAGCAGCCGCGGUAAUACGGAGGAUCCAAGCGUUAUCCGGAAUCAUUGGGUUUAAAGGGUCCGUAGGCGGUUUAAUAAGUCAGUGGUGAAAGCCCAUCGCUCAACGAUGGAACGGCCAUUGAUACUGUUAGACUUGAAUUGCAAGGAAGUAACUAGAAUAUGUAGUGUAGCGGUGAAAUGCUUAGAUAUUACAUGGAAUACCAAUUGCGAAGGCAGGUUACUACUUGUGGAUUGACGCUGAUGGACGAAAGCGUGGGGAGCGAACAGGAUUAGAAACCCGUGUAGUCC